rnacentral:lncRNA from 12 species
AUUCAACAGUUCAAAGUAACAAACAGGGGCCACCAUUUCCAUCGGCUCUUCUGGAGUGUGGGAUGUCACAGCCCACCUGAGGAGGAGAGCCAGAGUGUCUCAGACCUCGGUAUGCCCAAGGUCAAAGAUUUCCAGGGCCCCAAACGUACCAGACCCGUGUUUGCGCUGGAGCCGCUGUGGAUGGAGCUGCAGCCAGGCGAGUCUGCGGACAUGGUGCUGCAAGGCUUCUCCCACAUCCGGCAGGAGGUGCAGGAUUAUGUGAUGUGUGAAGCUGUCAUCGGGACAACCAGCAGGAUGGAGAAUAUAAUAGAAACAACCAUUAGCUGCAAGUUUAUUGAUCCUUCAAUAGAAAUAUCAGCCAGACAAUUCUCUUUCCGGGUGGAGAAGAAACCAAAUGAUGUCCUGGCUCUGCAGUACAAGCCUUUGUCUUUAAAAAACACCUGCUCCCUGCCACUGGACCUCAUGCUGGAAGUGGAGCAGCCGUUUCUGGUCUGCGAUGUGGACCAGCAGCCCCUCCCAGAUGGCCAGCCUGUGACACUGGAUGUAGGGCAGACCUGCCAUCUCUACGUGGCAUUUGAUCCAGCUUAUGAACUGGAUCUUAAUAGCUGGAAGGAAAAGAAGGUGCUGAAGAUAAACAUGGUCAAUGGCCAUCCUUAUGUGGCGUGUAUCUCCCUUUGGGGAGAAGUCCAUUUCCCCAAUCUCCAAAUCCAGCCCAGGAGCCUGGAGUUUGGCUGCAUCCUGGCUGGCACUGAAGAAGUGCGUUCUCUGGAGAUGACCAACUGCAGCCCCCUGCCUGUCCAGUACCACUGGUCAUUCCAUCCGGACAGCCAGGUGAACAGGCUGAGAUAUGAGCGUUACCCACUUAAGUUCAAACCCCAGCCACCAGAGAAGAAGAGAACUAGUUUGGAUGGCUCAGCAUUUCUAAGGAGACGCUUCAAGAUUAGAAAUGGAGAGGAUCCAGGCACAGCCCUGAGAGAAUCGUGGGAUCCUGCCCAGUCUUUAGGAGCAGAGGUGCUGCCAUCUACUUCUGAAAAGUAUUACAUCCCACUUGGCUUGGGGGGAUUCAGGUUAUCCACGGAUGUACCGUGCACUCCCCUCGAAGUGGAGAAGGCUUUCAGUAUCCUGCCGCAGUCGGGUGUGCUGCAGCCGGGAGAGAGACAGCGAGUCUCCUUCACCUUCUCUGGCCACCCCGACACCGUGGCCAGUGCCGUGGCCCUGUGCCACGUGCAGGGAGGCCCCACCUACGAGGUGGAGCUGACUGGGGAGGCCUCAUGUGUCAGCUACUCCCUGAGCCACAGGAAGAUCAACUGCGGCUUCCAGAUGUUUAAUGAAAUUCAUCAUAGCACAGUCACCCUGGCAAACACUGGCAAGAUUAAAUUCAACUGGAUGCUAAACCUUAGCAUUGCAGAGCAGUAUCUGCCUGGAGUGUUUCUGGUCAACCCCACUGCUGGCUCCAUUGCACCUGGUGAGAAGGAAGUGCUGAAAUUCUCUUACAUGCCAGGAGUACCAGGAGCCUUCAGCAGGACUUUCCAGCUUAAAGUGGGUGACCUGGAGCCAGAAAAUAUCUGCCUGAAAGGAGAAGCAUCCUUUCCCAUGAUCACUGUCAACCUGCCCUGGAGCAUCAAAGGAAAUGAAAAAUAUGAGGAGCUCAUAAAACCCCUGCAACAAUACAGUCAGAGGAGAAAAUCAGCUGUUCAGAAGAAGACUCAGAGCCCAAAGACUGGGACCUUGAGGACUUGGAACCUGAAGCCCCGCGUGCCUGCCUCUGGCAUUGCAUCAAACGCUCAGCUGCAGAUAGAGACGGUGAUGAAGCUGGUACAGGAUCCUGCUCUGGAGCUGCAGGAAAAGCUCCCAUCCCAUCCCCCACACAGCAGGUUCCCUGACAAGGAGCUGUGCCAGAGUCUUGUCAAGUGAGUGGGGACUCCCAUCCCCAUGUCCAGGUGCCCCGUGAGGAACACCCAGCAAUGUCCCCUUGUCCUG